rnacentral:rRNA from 1 species
GACGAACGCUGGCGGCGUGCUUAACACAUGCAAGUCGAACGGAAAGGCCUGCUUUCCCUUGUGGAUUGCGGGUACUCGAGUGGCGAACGGGUGAGUAACACGUGAGUGAUCUGCCCCCAACUUGGGUAUAAGCCUGGGAAACUGGGUCUAAUUCCCGAUAGGACUGCAGGGUGGUGCCUGUGGUGGAAAACGAUUUUCUAGUGGUUGGGGAUGAGCUCGCGGCCUAUCAGCUUGUUGGGGGGUAAUGGCCUACCAAGGCGGCGACCGGUAGCCGGCCUGGGAGGGUGGACGGCCACAUUGGGACUGAGAUACGGCCCAGACUCCUACGGGAGGCAGCAGUGGGGAAUAUUGCACAAUGGGCGGAAGCCUGAUGCAGCGACGCCGCGUGGGGGAUGACGGCCUUCGGGUUGUAAACUCCUUUCGACCGCGAGGAAGCCACCUGGUUGGAAGGGUGGUGACGGUAGUGGUAGAAGAAGCACCGGCUAACUACGUG